UUUGUAGGCUGAAAUGUAAGUCAAGUGUGAAAUCCCCGAGCUAAACUUGGGACGUGCAUUUGAAACUGUGUUUCUUGAGUAUCGUAGAGGGUGGUGGAAUUGUAGGUGUAGGAGUGACAUCCGUAGAGAUCUGCAGGAACAUCAGAGGCGAAGGCGACCACCUGGCCGAUUACUGACGCUGAGGAACGAAAGCGUGGGGAGCAAACAGGAUUAGAUACCCUGGUAGUCCACGCCGUAAACGAUGAUAACUAGGUGUUGGGAGAAUUGACCCUUUCAGUACCGUAGCACACGCGCUAAGUUAUCCGCCUGGGGAGUACGGCCGCAAGGCUAAA
rnacentral:rRNA from 1 species